GUGCACCAGUCGCGAAAACUGGCCAAUGCGCGAGAGCGUGAGCCGGCUAAUCCGAGUGAUAGCCCAUCGGCUAUCUUUUGUCAAGUUUUUAACGCUUGGCGAAUAAUGAGAGGGCAAGACUGGUGCCAGCCGCCGCGGUAAAACCAGCUCUUAGAGUGGUGAUCAUGUUUAUUUGGCUUAAAGGGUGCGUAGCAGGACAGCGUAAGUCCUCUGUGAAAUGCUAGGUCUUAAACUUAGCGCGUGCAGGGGAUACUGUGCGUCUUGGGACCGGGAUAGGUGUAAUGUACGCGUUGGGUAGGGGUGAAAUCCGAUAAUCCAACGCGGACAACCGGUGGCGAAGGCGUUACACUGGAACGGGUCCGACUGUGAGGCACGAAAGCUAGGGUCGCGAGCCGGAUUAGAUACCCGUGUAGUCC
rnacentral:rRNA from 1 species